UCAAGAAGAUCGAAACAGCAACACCAACUCCUGCUUCUCCUGCUACUGCUCCUGCUGUUACUGGUACAGGUACAGGUACACCAUUGCUCUCGAGGUCUGCUACAAUGCAGAGUACUACUGCUACUCCUACUGGAUUGGCUUCAGAGCAGUACGCCGCGCAUAAGAAUUCCCUCUGCAAAAUGCAAGCUGGUAAGUGUAUAUAGAUUUGAUGAGAUGGACAUGUAUGUCCUCUUUUGUAGCUGACGACUAACUAAGAGUUGGUGUUGGGUUCAGAAUUACCUAUUGCAAGGAGACACUCUCUUCAGCGCUUUUUUGAGAAGAGAAGGGACAGGAUGAUGACCAAGAGUCCAUACUCUAUCCCUUCCUCUCCCUCUGCAGCUAAGCUUGAAGACAAUCAGAAGAUGGCUGCUGCUGCUGCUGCUGCUG
rnacentral:lncRNA from 1 species